ACACUGAGAACAGGCUAAGCGGUCGCUGGUGGGCACUGGGAACACAGCAGUAGAGGCGAUGGUCAGAGAGCCAGAGUCUGAUGCGAUAGCAAUGGGGAAAAGGCGGUGGAUUUGAUCUUGAUCGGACUGGACCUGGUUCUUGCUCCACAGCUACAGAUUAGCCCCUUUAGCAAGGAGAGUGUGAUUAGGCUAGAAGAAGAUGACACAAGAAAAGCCGAAUGCCAACAGUUGACAUAACCAGCUCUAUUGGACGCCGAGUCUCUGCUCCUGCCGGCCACCACUUUCUAGUGCCAACUUGUGCUGGACACCGUAGAUGGUCAUCCCUAAGUCAGAGCAGCUGCAAUAUGGAGCGGCAUUUCCCCCGUAACUGGCUGUAAUGUACUCAGAGCUGGACUGAAGCCUACGUGACACACAGGAGCAUGUCGGAUGUGCUGCAGGCCAGUGCAGCUUCCGUGCCAAUGGCUGUGGCUAAGAUCUAAGUGUUGAUCAGUGAAGCUUCGGGGCUCCUCGUGAGAUAACACUGCAGUGAGGACUGGGUGGUUCCUGGAUCCACAUUCCAUCCCCAGAGCUGCCUAUCCCUUAAUUGUUUUCAGUUAAUCAUAACUGACCUUUGGUUGAUUCCCAAUCCUCCUUUCUACAAGCUUUGCCUGUGUCAGCUGCUGUCACUGAUGCCACAUAAGUCCCUCUACCCUGUUCUUACCCACGCCUGUGUAAUUAACUCCAAAGACCUGGCUACUUGGGUCCUGGCCACAUGCACGGCACGUGUUCAGCAUGGCCCAUCUCAGAUCCUCGCCAUGGCCACAUGUUUGAAUCUUGCUUCUGUGUUCCUUUCUCUUUCUUUCUCUCUCUCUCUCUCUCCUCUCCCCCCUCCCGCUUCUUUCUCACUUUCUUUCUUCCUCCAUCAUAUUGCCUUGCAGGAGAUGGAGCCUUGAGACUGGGACCCAGUAGUUUGUAUUCCCAGGAAUAAAACUAAAUCCCACCUAAAAACAAAUCAAUUCAGUAAGUUUUCAAGA